UGGGACGUGGUGUACGGUGCACAGCUGCUGCUACUUAUCGACCUCUCAUGUGAUAAGCAGCAAGCCGGGGUUCGACUCCCCGCAUCCCAA